GAAUGAUGACCUUGACAUUACAUAGUAAAGUCCAAGGCCAUAACCAUGGUAAUGAUCUCUUUUAUUGUUUUCAGCAUUAUGUCCUUUUUUUGUUAUUUUUUUUUAAACCUAUCUUUCAAUACAGAUUAAAAAUGGUGUUUGUUGUAUAUGUAAAUAAAAAUUACAAGUGUUCUAUGUAAAUAUUAGGAAUGUUGGUGAAAUACCAUACAGACAAAAAUUUUACAUAAUAAGCAUGAUUUUAUUUUUAUAAAUUGAAUAGAUAUUGAUCAAGUAAAACAAUGAUGGAAUGAUCACUGAUUGGCAGAAAUUUUUUUCACCUGACACUGUUGAUAAAUUAAACUCUGAGUUAAGUAUUGCACCUCAAUUGACACUUUUAGGGACUGCACAAUAUAUUCAAAUACGAAUAAUAAGUGAAAUGGCUAUUUCAAGCACUGUUGUACUUAAUUUAAAUGUAUUAAUUGUAUUGUACAUGAAUGAAGAAUUUUAAUUAUGUAUGGAAAGUUUAGCAAAGUUUGAAGGAAUGUUUGAGAAUGGAGUGAGUUGGAAGGAUUGUUGCAAUUGUGCUGGUAAAACAUGUAUUCGGUAUCCACUUUACACAACUUAUAUUAUGAAACACACACACACACGUGCAUAUACAUACAAAUACCACUGGGUUUAUUUUGAUAAAAUGUAACAUGUCUUAGCAAUUCAGAGAAACUGUUAUGGGAAAACAAAAAAUGGUGUAUUAGAAUUCUAGAUGUAGAGAAAUUAUCCAAAAGUUUUAAAUUCAAUGUUGACAUGCUUUGAUGAUAAUUUGAUGAUUCAUUAUUUUACCAAGUGUUGUUAUUUGUAAUGUAUGAAAGCUUGCUUUUAAGAAGUGUGUAGUAACUUAAUGUGAAGAAGGUUUGUUUAAGAGUUUGCCUAUUUGCCUUCAGUUUGCAUAUUCAUAUUGGUUUAUUGGUUUUUGCCAGUGCAAUUUUUUGUUCAAAACAUUCCAUUUAAAUGCAAAUAAAGAUGUGAA
rnacentral:sRNA from 1 species